rnacentral:rRNA from 1 species
AGUUAGUGUAGGUAGACGCGAAACCAGGUGAUCUACCCAUGGGCAGGUUGAAGUUGUGGUAACACACAAUGGAGGACCGAACCGGUUGACGUUGAAAAGUCUUCGGAUGACCUGUGGGUAGGGGUGAAAGGCCAAUCAAACCUGGAAAUAGCUCGUACUCCCCGAAAUGCCUUUAGGGGCAGCGUCGGAUGAGUUUGAUGGAGGUAGAGCUACCAAUUAGAUGCGGGGGAGUCACAUCCUACCAAAUCUAGAUGAACUCCGAAUGCCAUCAAACACUACCGGCAGUGAGGGCUAGGGUGCCAAGGUCCUAGUCCGAAAGGGAAAGAACCCGGACCAUCGUCUAAGGUCCCCAAGUAAUAGUUAAGUUGAACUAAGGAGGUUCAGUCGCUGAGACAGCCAGGAUGUUAGCUUGGAAGCAGCUAUACAUUCAAAGAGUGCGUAACAGCUCACUGGUCGAGCGACAGAGCAUCGAUAAUGAUCGGGCAUUAAACUAUUCACCGAAGACAUGGAUUUGUA